GUCUCCAAUGUGCAAAUUGCAGAAAUUGGCUUCUCCCACUCCUCUUUUGCCAGGAAAUGAGGAACGCACAGAGGAGGAACACUGAAGACCUGGGGAACAUUCAUUUUCAUGUUACUGUAUUACGGUGUUGUGUUUGGUGGGUUCAGGGGAGACAGCAGAGGGGGCCGGACUAGAAGGAAUGGGCUGGAGGUUGACUUGGCCGAGUCCCAUGGGUCAGAGAAGGCAAUUUCAGCCACUAAAGAGCGAAAAUGUCACAGGAUCUCUAUCCACUUCCACAUUUAUGCAGACUGAAACCCCACAUGCCCCAAACUGAAUUCAUCUUCUUCCCUCCAAAGCCUGUUCUUUUCUGCUGGCCCUUCUGUCUCCCAAUUGCUCCAAUGAGUGUAAGGAACUAAAGUCAUCUUGACUCUCCCUCUUCCUUAUCUCAUUAAUACAUCUUACGAGUUUUAUAAGAUUAUAGUAUCUCUGGAAUCAUCUAUCCUCCCACCUCCACUUCUCCAUCUUAGUCCAAGCACUUGUCCCUUCUGGCCUGGAUGACUGCAAUGGCCGCAUUCUUGUUGUCUCCCAAUCCAUUCCUCAGCCUGCAGGAAAGUUCACAUUUUUUUAAGGCUAAAGAUCAUAUUGUUAUCCCUCUUGCUCUAAAGCUCUUGCAUGUUUUCCACUGCCCUUUAAGUUUGGGCUCAAGUCUCAAAGUCCUUAACCAUGAUUUCCUAGGACUUCCUCAGUGCAGUCCUGCCCUUACCCACCCAUCCCUGCUCUCCUCCACUGCCUCCCUGCUCCUGGGUGCCUUCAGGCCUUUCACGUGCUCACACUCAUCUCAGAGCCUCUGACUAUGUGGUUCCCUCUGCCUGAUAUCAGGGUUCAGAACAUGAUACCCCAGAGUAUGGCUCCUUGGUAUGCUGGGUACUUUGAACUGACAGAGAUUACAAGGGCCUCGGAAACAAGGUCACUCUGACCUUCUCCUAUCCUGCUUUCUCCCUCAAACAAGGCACAGAAACUAGAAUUCUUCAUCUCAAAGCAAGUCAUAAACCUAGGAAGGUCUUUGACCUUCUCCCUUCCCUGCUGAAAGCCCUCCUGUGACAGGUGUCCUGCCCCAUACCUUGCGGGGAGGCAUGUCUUACAGAGACACAGAAAAGACUCUGGACAAACAGGCCCUGCAGACCUCCACUGCCCCUCAGUUCAUUCCCAUUAGAUCAGACCCUUUUUUGUCCAAUCGUAUUUCUUCAUAACCAUGCACUUUUUUCUUCAGACCUUACAUAAAAAUGUAACUUUCUUUCGGUUUUUGGGUCUUCAUUUCUGAAGACUUCAUGUCACAUAAAACUUUGUUAAGUAAGUUUGUUGUGCUUUCCUUGUGUUACACUCUUUCAUUAUCAGAAUUGUCAGUCAUGAUUGUAUGACUGAUGGAUGAAGAAAAGGUAUGACUUUUUCCCCCCUACCCUGGAACGGCCCUUCUUUGCUCUGUUCUCUUCCAUAGCACCAAGCCUGGUGUCAUUUAUUUACCUAUGUUUUUGUGUUUCUCACUUGACUCAGCUCCAUGGGGGAAGGCACUAUGUCUGUUUUGGUUCCCACUCCAUCCCUAGCAGGCAACACAAUGCCUAGCACCUAUUAGAUGCUGUCUCUAUAGAUAUAGAUAUAGAUUAUAUGUAGAUUAUACAUAGAAUAUUUAUAGAAUUAAUGAGAUUAUGGUAAAACUGCUUUGGAAUUAUAAAGGCUAUACAAUACCGGUAAUUUCUAUUUCUGCCUUCCACCUCAGAAAAGGCAGGAUAGAUAUUCUAUUAUCAUUUAAACUUGAGUGGAACUUAUUUAUAUCUGUGUGUUGAGGCUUCCAGGUAUUUGCAUCUUAAACUUUUUAUUUAUACCUGCAGAAUGAAGGGAUUUGUGCCUCUUUAAAGGAAUUUCAGGCAAUAGCCAGCAGGUCCCUGCUGUGUGCUGUACUAGGUGCUGGAGUGCCAUAAAAGGAAUCACACUCGAGGCUGAUCACAAGACUUCUUUUCCACUUGGAAGAAGCUCAUGGGAGCCAGCACUGAUGCAGGUCCAGGCCUGGGGAAAGCAUAUGCCCCCAAGACCCAUCAAGCUUGUCCCUGCCAUCUCUCUCCAUCAUUCUAGCUUCGCCCUAGCUUGUGGGUACCACGGGUACCUAUUUCCAGGAACCCAGGGAAUUCCUUUUGACCUUGCUGGGAAACUGCAAAUCACCCAACAGGAGCUUAGCUGUGCAGCCAACAUUUGGAACUACUCAAUAGCUUUCUGGAGUCAACAAAUAAGGAAAUAAUUUCUUUAGGAUAAAAAAAUGUUUUGUUUUAGUAAAGGGUAAUGGCACUCCAUUGCGAAUGGAAACUGUUCUCCCCUUGGUUUAAGUGGAGCCCAUUUGUCAGCACUGCUUGAGGCCUGCGAAGUGACCAUCUAGGUAUUUUUCUCAAGUGAAGAAUGAUCUGAGGACAUCUUCGCCACUGGGUCCCUCUUACUCAUGUGACUUCCAAGUUUUCUGGUGGUAAAGUUGGAGGCAGAGAGAGCAUGCCCCUGAAUUGGACAGUAGAGUGUCCUUCAGCUGAUAGAAGAUCACUUCAGGGCAGGUGGAGCAGCCACAGAAGAAAAUGGUCUCUUAUGUUGGAGAAGACUUUAUAUGAUCACUUGGACCAGUAAUUGCCAAUUCUGGAUGGUCACCAGAGGGUUCUUUAAAAACAGAACCAAGGUCUGCACUGCAUCUCCAAGCCUGCAGAGAAAUGAUGUGUGACAGCCCGCCUUGACAAAUCAGCACUGCUUACAGCCCUGCCACCAGAAUGCCUUCACUCUGUCCAACUUGAAUUCCCUUUAAAGCAAUGGAAGGAAUCUGCUUUCCAAGAUCCCUUCAGAAGGAAAGAUUUGCAUUGUUUAAAGGAGAAUAAAAAUCAGAUGUCUAAGAAAAAGGAAAAAGACAAAGUCUCCUUUCAAGAAGUAACAACUCUGCCAGCUUACUCAGGUCAUGAAAUAAUGCUGUUGGCAAUGACUUUGGGGUGUUCUGUCACAGUCUCAGUACACUUUCUCCCCCCUGGGCAGUAUUUUAUAGUUACUGCUUCUACGCCCCAUUGGCUCAGACAUAAUUUAUUAUUUGUUUACAUGUUUCACUUACUCUGCUAAGGUGGAAGUCCGGUGAUGCAUUAUUACUGACAGCAUCAGUGUGUGUGUGUGUGUGUCUGUGUGUGUCUAUUUGUGUGUCAUUGAAAGACUCAAGGAGAUCUGACGGGUUCUGAACCUGCAAGUUUUCAGAGCACAAGUGGCCCCCCCAGGUCUACAAGAGCCUCCCUGGGCUCUUGGCUCAGAUCAAAUGUGUCCUAUGUCCCUGUAGUUAGUUCCUUCUACUUCUCUGAGGACCAAGACAAUUCCAGGAAGACACAGGCUCCCCGGGACUGUGACUUUCUAUUCUCUCCUUUGACUUGUCUUCCUGUGUAGUGAUCAAAGUCCUCCCAUUUCUGGGGGGAACGUCACAGUUUACACAGCACUUUCUUCACGACAAUAGCAUGAAGAAAAUAAUACCUGCCCUUUAUCUCCACAUGAGACACAGACAGGUCAAGGACGUGUGCAAGUUCAAAGAGCAAGAGUGGAAUCCAGCCCGAACCAGCACCCCAUGAUGGAAGGGGAAUGACCGUGGCUGGCCCAGUCACUUACAGCUCUUUGACCAGGGGCAGCUCACGAAAAGCUCAGGUUCUUCACCUGCUAAAAGAUGGCAGUGAUAGUGCUUACUGCACAGGGCUGUUUUAGAAAUAAAAUAGAUUUCUAAAAGUGCUCAGCAAAAUGACUAGCAUGUAAUAAACGUGCAA
ensembl:lncRNA novel transcript